rnacentral:rRNA from 1 species
UACGUAGGGGGCUAGCGUUGUCCGGAAUCAUUGGGCGUAAAGCGCGUGUAGGCGGUCCGGUAAGUCCGCUGUGAAAGUCGGGGGUCAACCUCGGAUGCCGGUGGAUACUGUCGGGCUUUGAGUACGGAAGAGGCGAGUGGAAUUCCUGGUGUAGCGGUGAAAUGCGCAGAUAUCAGGAGGAACACCAAUUGCGAAGGCAGCUCGCUGG